GAGUACAAUUUACAUCUCUUCACGAGGAUCAAUUGGAGGGCAAGUCUGGUGCCAGCAGCCGCGGUAAUUCCAGCUCCAAUAGCGUAUAUUAAAGUUGUUGCAGUUAGAACGCUCGUAGUCGGAUUUCGGGGCGGGCCGACCGGUCUGCCGAUGGGUACGCACUGGUCGGCGCGUCCUUCCUUCCGGAGACCGUGCCUACUCUUAACUGAGCGGGGGCGGGAGACGGAACGUUUACUUUGAAAAAAUCAGAGUGUUUCAAGCAGGCAGCUCGCUCUUGCAUGGAUUAGCAUGGGAUAAUGAAAUAGGACUUUGGUGCUAUUUUGUUGGUUUCGAACACCGAAGUAAUGAUGAGAAGGGACAGUCAGGGGCACUCGUAUUCCGCCGAGAGAGGUGAAAUUCUCAGACCAGCGGAAGACGAACCACUGCGAAAGCAUUUGCCAGGGAUGUUUUCACUGAUCAAGAACGAAAGUUAGGGGAUCGAAGACGAUCAGAUACCGUCGUAGUCUUAACCAUAAACCAUGCCGACUAGGGAUUGGGGGAUGUUCACAUAUUGACUCCCUCAGCACCUUACGGGAAACUAAAGUCUUUGGGUUCCGGGGGGAGUAUGGUCGCAAGGCUGAAACUUAAAGGAAUUGACGGAAGGGCGCCACCAGGUGUGGAGCCUGCGGCUUAAUUUGACU
rnacentral:rRNA from 1 species